rnacentral:rRNA from 1 species
AGCAGCCGCGGUAAUUCCAGCUCCAAUAGCGUAUAUUAAAGUUGUUGCAGUUAAAAAGCUCGUAGUUGAAUUUCGGGAUCAAGGAAUCGGUCAUGCCUUGGUAUGUACUGGUUUUAUUGGUUCUCACCUUCUAAAGAACCAUAAUGUCAUUCAUUUGAUGUUAUGGGGAAUUAGGACUCUUACCUUGAAAAAAUUAGAGUGUUCAAAGCAGGCCUACGCCUGAAUACAUUAGCAUGGAAUAAUGGAAUAGGACCUCGGUUCUAUUUUGUUGGUUUCUAGGACCGAAGUAAUGAUUAAUAGGGACAGUUGGGGGCAUUGGUAUUCAAUUGUCAGAGGUGAAAUUCUUGGAUUUAUUGAAGACCAACUUCUGCGAAAGCAUUUGCCAAGGAUGUUUUCAUUGAUCAAGAACGAAAGUUAGGGGAUCGAAGACGAUCAGAUACCGUCGUAGUCUUAACCAUAAACGAUGCCGACUAGGGAUCGGACGAUGUUAUCUUAGUGACUCGUUCGGCACCUUAUGGGA